rnacentral:rRNA from 1 species
GGUUAAGCGACUAAGCGUACACGGUGGAUGCCCUGGCAGUCAGAGGCGAUGAAGGGCGUGCUAAUCUGCGAUAAGCGCCGGUAAGGUGAUAUGAACCGUUAUAACCGGCGAUACCCGAAUGGGGAAACCCAGUGUGAUUCGUCACACUAUCAUUAACUGAAUCCAUAGGUUAAUGAGGCGAACCGGGGGAACUGAAACAUCUAAGUACCCCGAGGAAAAGAAAUCAACCGAGAUUCCCCCAGUAGCGGCGAGCGAACGGGGAGGAGCCCAGAGCCUGAAUCAGCAUGUGUGUUAGUGGAAGCGUCUGGAAAGGCGCGCGAUACAGGGUGACAGCCCCGUACACAAAAGCGCAUGUGUUGUGAGCUCGAUGAGUAGGGCGGGACACGUGGUAUCCUGUCUGAAUAUGGGGGGACCAUCCUCCAAGGCUAAAUACUCCUGACUGACCGAUAGUGAACCAGUACCGUGAGGGAAAGGCGAAAAGAACCCCGGCGAGGGGAGUGAAAAAGAACCUGAAACCGUGUACGUACAAGCAGUGGGAGCACAGGUUUACCUGUGUGACUGCGUACCUUUUGUAUAAUGGGUCAGCGACUUAUAUUCUGUAGCAAGGUUAACCGUAUAGGGGAGCCGCAGGGAAACCGAGUCUUAAUUGGGCGUUAAGUUGCAGGGUAUAGACCCGAAACCCGGUGAUCUAGCCAUGGGCAGGUUGAAGGUUGGGUAACACUAACUGGAGGACCGAACCGACUAAUGUUGAAAAAUUAGCGGAUGACCUGUGGCUGGGGGUGAAAGGCCAAUCAAACCGGGAGAUAGCUGGUUCUCCCCGAAAGCUAUUUAGGUAGCGCCUCGUGAACUCAUCUCCGGGGGUAGAGCACUGUUUCGGCUAGGGGGCCAUCCCGGCUUACCAACCCGAUGCAAACUGCGAAUACCGGAGAAUGUUAUCACGGGAGACACACGGCGGGUGCUAACGUCCGUCGUGAAGAGGGAAACAACCCAGACCGCCAGCUAAGGUCCCAAAGUCAUGGUUAAGUGGGAAACGAUGUGGGAAGGCCCAGACAGCCAGGAUGUUGGCUUAGAAGCAGCCAUCAUUUAAAGAAAGCGUAAUAGCUCACUGGUCGAGUCGGCCUGCGCGGAAGAUGUAACGGGGCUAAACCAUGCACCGAAGCUGCGGCAGCGAACGUAUCACUUAAAGCGAUUCAGCGGGUUACGAUUGACGGAGCGAAGCGACGUCAAAGCGUAUACAAAGUCGAGUCGGUUUAAGGAUACGUUCGUUGGGUAGGGGAGCGUUCUGUAAGCCUGUGAAGGUGGCCUGUGAGGGUUGCUGGAGGUAUCAGAAGUGCGAAUGCUGACAUAAGUAACGAUAAAGCGGGUGAAAAGCCCGCUCGCCGGAAGACCAAGGGUUCCUGUCCAACGUUAAUCGGGGCAGGGUGAGUCGACCCCUAAGGCGAGGCCGAAAGGCGUAGUCGAUGGGAAACGGGUUAAUAUUCCCGUACUUGGUGUUACUGCGAAGGGGGACGGAGAAGGCUAUGUUGGCCGGGCGACGGUUGUCCCGGUUUAAGCGUGUAGGUGUGUGUUCCAGGUAAAUCCGGUUCACUUUAACACUGAGGCGUGAUGACGAGGCACUACGGUGCUGAAGCAACAAAUGCCCUGCUUCCAGGAAAAGCCUCUAAGCAUCAGGUAACAUCAAAUCGUACCCCAAACCGACACAGGUGGUCAGGUAGAGAAUACCAAGGCGCUUGAGAGAACUCGGGUGAAGGAACUAGGCAAAAUGGUGCCGUAACUUCGGGAGAAGGCACGCUGACAUGUAGGUGAAGUGAUUUACUCAUGGAGCUGAAGUCAGUCGAAGAUACCAGCUGGCUGCAACUGUUUAUUAAAAACACAGCACUGUGCAAACACGAAAGUGGACGUAUACGGUGUGACGCCUGCCCGGUGCCGGAAGGUUAAUUGAUGGGGUCAGCGCAAGCGAAGCUCCUGAUCGAAGCCCCGGUAAACGGCGGCCGUAACUAUAACGGUCCUAAGGUAGCGAAAUUCCUUGUCGGGUAAGUUCCGACCUGCACGAAUGGCGUAAUGAUGGCCAGGCUGUCUCCACCCGAGACUCAGUGAAAUUGAACUCGCUGUGAAGAUGCAGUGUACCCGCGGCAAGACGGAAAGACCCCGUGAACCUUUACUAUAGCUUGACACUGAACAUUGAGCCUUGAUGUGUAGGAUAGGUGGGAGGCUUUGAAGCGUGGACGCCAGUCUGCGUGGAGCCGGCCUUGAAAUACCACCCUUUAAUGUUUGAUGUUCUAACGUGGACCCGUGAUCCGGGUUGCGGACAGUGUCUGGUGGGUAGUUUGACUGGGGCGGUCUCCUCCUAAAGAGUAACGGAGGAGCACGAAGGUUGGCUAAUCCUGGUCGGACAUCAGGAGGUUAGUGCAAUGGCAUAAGCCAGCUUGACUGCGAGCGUGACGGCGCGAGCAGGUGCGAAAGCAGGUCAUGUGAUCCGGUGGUUCUGAAUGGAAGGGCCAUCGCUCAACGGAUAAAAGGUACUCCGGGGAUAACAGGCUGAUACCGCCCAAGAGUUCAUAUCGACGGCGGUGUUUGGCACCUCGAUGUCGGCUCAUCACAUCCUGGGGCUGAAGUAGGUCCCAAGGGUAUGGCUGUUCGCCAUUUAAAGUGGUACGCGAGCUGGGUUUAGAACGUCGUGAGACAGUUCGGUCCCUAUCUGCCGUGGGCGCUGGAGAACUGAGGGGGCUGCUCCUAGUACGAGAGGACCGGAGUGGACGCAUCACUGGUGUUCGGGUUGUCAUGCCAAUGGCACUGCCCGGUAGCUAAAUGCGGAAGAGAUAAGUGCUGAAAGCAUCUAAGCACGAAACUUGCCCCGAGAUGAGUUCUCCCUGAGACUUAAAGUCUCCUGAAGGAACGUUGAAGACGACGACGUUGAUAGGCCGGGUGUGUAAGCGCAGCGAUGCGUUGAGCUAACCGGUACUAAUGAACCGUGAGGCUUAACCUU